rnacentral:rRNA from 1 species
UGGGGAAUAUUGCACAAUGGGGGAAACCCUGAUGCAGCGACGCCGCGUGAACGAAGAAGGUAUUCGUAUCGUAAAGUUCUGUCCUAUGGGAAGAUAAUGACAGUACCAUAGAAGAAAGCUCCGGCUAAAUACGUGCCAGCAGCCGCGGUAAUACGUAUGGAGCGAGCGUUGUCCGGAAUUAUUGGGCGUAAAGGGUACGCAGGCGGUUUAAUAAGUCGAAUGUUAAAGAUCGGGGCUCAACCCCGCAAAGCAUUGGAAACUGAUAAACUUGAGUAGUGGAGAGGAAAGUGGAAUUCCUGGUGUAGUGGUGAAAUACGUAGAUAUUAGGAGGGAUACCAGUAGCGAAGGCGACUUUCUGGACACAAACUGACGCUGAGGUACGAAAGCGUGGGGAGCAAACAGG